CUCCAAGGAGUAAGAAAAGAUUCAUCUUUCUCAAGAAAAGAUGUCAGACGAGGAGCAAUGUCCACUGCCUUUGCUGUCGCAGUUGCACCACCACAACCAACGGUUGUUCUUCCUUCCACAGAGUAACCACCUUGUUGUUCUUGGUUCUUCUUGUUCUUAGUUUCUUGCUCUUGCUCCUCUAUUAUUUUCUUUAUCAAUAGUUGAUGCUCGUAAUUCUCCAUCUGUUUCUCUUCAUUAUAACAUAUGCCAAUUAGAAUAAAAAUUAGUUUAGUUUGCUAGUUAUUUAAUGUAUUCCUCUAUAAUUAAUUAUAAUUUUUCAUUAAAUAACUAACGACUUAAACUAAUUUUUAUUUUAAACUAAUGCUGAAGUUAAAUUUUGGAAUUGAAGGAACAACGUGAAGAACCCUAGCCCCCCAAUCGCGCAGCCCGCAGCACUACGUCGUCGCCUAGCUCUCUCUCUGUUCGCCGAUGUCGCCGUCUCCUCUGUUGUCGCGGUUACUCUCCUUCCUCCUCGCCGCCGGUAAGCACUGUGCUUGCAUUUUGAUAAUACUUGGAUUUUCAAACUGAAACUGAAGCCUAGUCCCACUCCCACCCCUCUCCUCUUUGAAACCGAAGAAAAUUUGAAAUUGAAAGAACAAAGAACCCUAGCCACCCACAGACAAUUUGAAAUUUGAAAUUGAUUAGCUGGGUUAUGAGUAUUAUAAUGAUCAUCUCGUCUGCCUUUCUGCUUGAAAGCUUUGAACCAGGUCUUGGAACGAACAUAGGGGCGCGCAAACGCUUUCAAAACUAUAAUAGCGACUAGCUCACUAGCCGAUAGAGAUGCCACCUAAGAAGAGAAGCAGCCUAAUACUAAAGUAAAGGAUGAAAAGCAAGAAUCGAUUUUUCCAAGUUCUAACUACAUGAAAGAGGAAAGCCUCGUAGGAGAGAGUGAUUCAGCGGUAUUCCAUUCAUAACAAGGCAGAUACAAUAGUUUAGUAAAGGACAAAAAAAAACUUAUAUCAAUAUGUAAACAAUAAUUGUUCAAAAGUUAUCGCAUAUAAAAGAAUAUUAUUUAAAUAUUUAAGACAUCUAAUAAUAGGUACAUGCCAUGAUGAAGAGAAAAAAAAACAGAUUUUUUGAUGGAGUACUGGAUAAUUAUUUUUGCUGUUGUUUGAAAUUAUUUUUGCUAUUUAGAAUUAUUCUAUAUAAUAUUUAAUUAAAUUGAUUAAACUUCAAUUUAACCAAUAAACUAUUGAACCAGUAAUUUUAUCGGUUUAUUGACUAGUUCGAAUCUCUCGUAACCUUAAAAGAGUGGGGAGAAUUAUUGACUCAAAGAGUAAUAAAUACUAAAUAGUAACUAAAUUCAGUAAAAUAAUGGGUGAAGAUUAGAAAUACAUUUAUUUUUCGAGUCACCAUCAAUACUCAAUAAAUUUUUUCACGUAUAUAUAUUUAUAAUUUACAUAUAAAUAUUUAAAAGAGCUUUAGUUACUUUAAAAAAACUCCUUCAAUUCAACAAAGUUGCUAUGUAUAUCCAAGAGUCGCACACACCAGUUCUUUGCUAUCAUUUGUUGAAGUGUUGAUGCUGUGUUGUUGCAAUCAUAUAUAUAUAUAGGCAUAAAAAUUUUUUUAAUUUGUUACUAUCUUAUCAAAUAAAAAAGAUUAUUUGGGUGAAUUUCUAAAAAAAAAAAAUAUCUUUUUAAGUUAUCUUUUUAAAAAGAUUUUACAAAAAAUUAAAAAUAAUUUUAUGUUUGAAUAUUUUAUAUAAACUUUAUUUAUUUAUUUAUUAUGUAAAAAAUAUAUUUUUUAAAAAAUUUAAAAAAAAAUGUAAAUUAUAACUUUAAAAAAAGAUGUUUUUUUCCUACCUCUAUACAUUUGUGAAUUUUUUUAGAAAUAAAAUAAAAAAAAUUCAUAUUUUUUCAAACACAAUUUUUGAACUUUAAUUCUCUAAAUACGAUUUUUUUUACAAUAUACAAAUUAUUAAGUCCGCCUUACCCCGGCGAACUCCCUUUAAGUUUUUUGAAAUUUGCGUUUUUAAUCUAUUAUCAUCUCCAAAUAGUAUAUAGAUCUACAAACAGUACACAAAAAUACACAAAAAUACACAACAAGCAUAGCUUCUUCAAGAAUUUUUUUAAUUAUAAAUUUAAAAAAUAAGCCAUAUUUAACAAUGGCAACCAUUCCAGAAAUACACAAGUACACAAGAAUAAGUCAUAUUUAAUAAGGAUUUUUUUAAUUAUAAGUCAUAUUUUAUUUUGAAAAAAAUUAUUUAUAUUUUUUAAAAAAUUUUUCAAAAUAAAAUACGAUUUAUAAUUAAAAAAAUUCUUGUUAAAUAUGGUUUAUUCCGGUGUACCUGUGUAUUUCUGGAGAAAAUGAAAAUGGUUGCCAUGGUUAAAUAUGGCUUAUUUUUUUAAUUUAUAAUUAAAAAGGUGUUUGCUAUGGUACGAUGAUAAAUUCAUACGUAAUGAUAUAAUAAAAAUGUAGACAAAUUAGAACAAGACUUGCGGAUUAUAUUUUCCACGUCAAUAAUUAAUUUUUCUUUUUUUAAAUAUAAAUUAUAUCAAUGCUUUUACUAAAUCACCCUUAUACUUUAAUAAAAAUAAAAAAAAUAAAUUUUAUUUAAUUUUAAUAAAAAGACUUAAAUAUCCUUUUCUUUUCUAUUGGACAAAAAUCACCCUAAUCCUUUUAAUUUAAUCAAAAUUUAAUUAACUUUAGUUUAUAAUUUUAUAUCUAAAUUAAUUUAAAAAUCAAAACUAAAAUACAUUUCAUUAUUCAUAUACACUGCAAAAUUACUCUGUUUGUGGUGAACCCUAAUCUAAUUUCUCCUUCUUUAUUCAUACCCAAAAAAAAAAAAAAUCUAAAGAGUAACCUCACCCCUAAUUCCCUACCAGAUAGCCGCAUUCUAUCAUCAUCCUCUCCCUUUCUCGUAGCCACGCCUCCUCUCUGUCGGUCUUCACGCAUAGCAGCACGUACCAGCAUCCGCUAGCCGUUCUCCAUCUUUCUCCUCUCCUUCUGGACAAAGAAGAAGAAGAACCCAGUUCCUCCAGCAAAGACUUUUUCUGACGGCACCGUCGGCUCCGUCGCCGCUGCAGCUUACGGCACCGCUCUCGUCGUGUACUUGCAUUUCUUUGCCAACAUCAUCCAGGUUCCUCAGCAAAGACUUUUUUCCUGUUAAUUUAUCAAAUAAUUUCUCACAUUCUUCGUGCAACCUCUGUAAAAUAUUGAAUUGCAAGAUAAUUUCUCAUUCUCAUGAUAACAACGACAUUAUUAAUACUAAUACCAGUAUAUAGUCCCAGCUCAAACACCCCCUAUUAUGUUUUCUAUGCACCACUUGUGUUUGUGAGAAUGGGGUAGUAAAAAUCAUCCUCAUUUGAAGCUUGUGUUUUGGGGCAUGUUUGGUUUGGUGUGGGUGAAACUUAUGUGAAGUUUUUUUUAAGGUUGUUUAUGAAGGAGUAGAAAAAGAGGUUAUUUUUUUGGGUGGUUUAUGUUUAAAAAUGUAGAGAGUGGUGUAGCAUUAAUGGCAUCCUUAGAAGAAAAGGUUAAAACUUGUGGUGUUGGUGUCGUUGCGGGUUCAAACUCUAGUUGCUGAAAUGAAGCACCUCAAGGAAAUGCAAGAGCACUUUGUUUUGUAAUCUUUGUUUUAUCUUUUCACUUAAUCUUUUCCCAUUAAUUAAUCAUGAAUGGUUAAUUAUAUGGUUUCAUCAUUCAUCAAGCUCAAUAUUUCACCCUUAACCUUUUUUGCCUUCUUUUUCUGAUGAUGGUAAUUUCAGGGGUGAGAAAGACUUUGAAUUUAGAACUAUGGCAUGCUUGUGCAGGCCCUCUUGUCUCUUUGCCUCAAGUGGAAAUUCUUGUUUAUUACUUACCCCAGAGACAUAGUGAGGAGGUACAUCUCUUCUUUUGAUAGCAAAUGUGUGAAUAUUUUUUUCUAUAGCAAAUGUGUAUCUAUUUUAAACAUGGGCUAGGGUUGAGUAUAAUGAGUCUAGUACUAUGAUUAAGUCAUUAACAGAAUAGAGUUUAGAAUAGUAAAUCACAUUAAUCUUUUGCUUUUAAGUAAUUUACACAAUUUACACGUGUGUUCAUAUUAAAAUUACCUGAUAUUAUCUCCUACUGUUAUAGUGUUAGGCUGUAUUUUUCUAUAACUUGAAGUAAUUUAUGGAUGAGACCUUUCUGCGAAGAUUUUGUUUUAGCACAGAGCCGAAUUUUUCUCAAGUAUUUCACUAUUUUAAUCCUCGAAAGAUUAGUCUACUAAGAAAAAUAAUCCUGCAAAUAUUGAUAAUUAUCCUAUGAUACAGAAAUUGAUUAAUAAAAAAAGUAAUAAGUUCUCAUCCAUGAUUAACAAUGAUGUAAACAAAUUGUUUCUGCAGUUUCUCAUCCAUGUUUUUUCUUAAAAUUACUUUUUUAUUAAUCACCCAUUUACAGAUUAUAUAUAUAUAUAUAUAUAUAUAUAUAUAUAUAUAUAUAUAUAUAUAUAUAUAUAUUUGAUAUGAUGUAUAGCUUAUAUACCGACCAUAGAUACCCUUUUGUAAUUUAUAUUGUUUUGGUUAUUUACUAGAGUAUGUUUCUAUAUGAUAGUUAUCAACUUAUCAUUUUGUUUCUACAGUUCUCAUCUAUAUUUUUUCUUGGUAAAUUCCUAGCUUCACCCAUGCACAUAUUGUCAAUGAUGUAAACUUAUUCCUAGUUUAGAAUACAUUUUGUGACUAUAUAGCAUGCACUACUAUAUUAUUUUAAGAAGAUAUACGUGCUUUAAAAAAAAAAACAAAAAAAAAAGAGGGUGUUAUGUACAUAUACCCAGCCAUGACAUGAAGCUUCCCUUUUAGUAGUAGUUUUAAUUUUGUGCCAUGCGUUUGGAUGUGAGAGUUGCAGAAAUAAAUCUGAAUCUUGAUUCUUUAACCUUCACUUUAUUUUUAUUUAUUUAUUUAUUUUCCUUGUCAUCAAUUGCUUGUCUCUUGUACCAAAUUUAAGGAACCAAUUAACACUUUUUGCCUCAUUUUCUUUUUAAGUCACAUUCUCACUUAAUUCCUAUAUAUCAUUUCUCAUUGCCAUUUGCAACCACCACAGCAUAGAUUGAAAUAAUAAUAAGACCAAGGAGUUUAUUUGACUUUUGAAGAUGUAGUAAAACAUGUCUUAACCUGUUGAUGUCACGCAUUAAGCUGCUGCAAAACAAGAGAGAUGCGCAACUGAAGCAAAUGCUUCCCAAUUCUUGGAGGCUGGCCAAGAGGCAAUUGUUAGAAUUCGGGUAAUUGUUCAGUGUUUCAUAAUACUUGUUAAUUUUAUUUCUAUCUUAGCCCACUCUACAUUUUCUUUGCUGUUUGUUUGAUUGCAUUGAUUUAAAUAAGUGGAGCAUAUCAUUCAAGAACAAAAUAUAUGGGAGGCAUAUGAAAUUUUAGAGUUAUUCUGUGAAUUUGUUCUUGCUUGUGUACAUAUAAUUGAGAGCCAGAAGUAAGACCAUACAAAUAUAAGUAUUUGUGCUUAUUGAAUGGUGUGUUUUCUUUUUAAUUGGCUCACAUGAAGUUAGUUUAAACUAUAAUCAUACAUGAAGAUAAGUGACCGUGGAUAUUUUUUCUUUGUUGUCCAUUUUUUUGUAGGUGCUAGAGCAACUUGAAGGCAACCACCUCUCGUCCACAGCAAUCCUCAGCCAAGACGGCAGUGUUUGGGUUCAGCUCUAAUUUUCCUCAGGUUAUCUUCAAUACUUCUCAAUUUCUCUCUCUAAAACUCUCCUUCUUUCUUAGUGCUUUGUUUUCCAAAAUCAUCUCGUUCUUUUUUUUCGUUAAUUUUCCUCCGAUUUAUCAGAUUUGAUUUGCAUGUAACAUAUCCUAUGGUUUUGGUGUUAAUUCGAUACAUUCGUGCUUUAACCAUAGCUGUUUAGUUUUAUCAACUAGAGCUAAUUGAUUAAUUUUUCAGAUUCUUAAUGUUUUACUUGUUAAAUUCAAUUAAUGCUGUAAAUUAAGGCUUGGAGAGAGUAAUUAGGAAUGAGCUGGAGUUUGGACUGUGUGAUUAUCUGAUAUGAGAUGCAUUGCAUUCCUUUUUAUUAGUAUGUAAGAACAUAAAAUCAAUCAUACACUCGUUAUUGUUAUAUAUGAAGUUGUGUAUUCACAUCACUUGUGCAAGUAACAUGUGGCCGGGGGUUUCAAGUGUUUGGUUCAUAGAACAAGUCAAGUGAUCCUUGCAGAUCUGAAAUAGUUUUAGUUGUUCUGUUCUUGGUUGGUUUUGUGUAUUGCAGUUCAAGCCUGAAGAAAUUACUGCUAUCAUGAAAUACAACUAUUCAUGUAAUUCCAGUAUUAUAUAAUUCACAUUCUACUAUUCACUAUUUACUAUUAUAUAAUUUAACUAUUUAAAUUAGAAAAUUAUAGCUAUCAUGAAAUUACCUUGUUUUCAAUUUGGCUCAUUUUCUUUUGAAUUUGUGCACUUUUGCAAUUCUGAAUUUGUGCACUAUGUAUAAGAAAUGCUUGAUUACAAGUAAAGCAAGUUGAUUCUGUCUAGUUGGUGAAAAACAUGCAUCUUUUUUACCCCCAUCAAGAGCUUCUUUUGGGUAUUUCAUUAGGGGAAGGGGAGCAGUGACAAAUCUGGAGUGAGUGCUAUCUAAAGAGACUGUGACAUCACUGGGUAAAGGAAAAGAUUGCCCGUUCAAUACCUCAAACUAAUGUUUUUUUCACAGUGAUCAACAAAUAAAACCCACUCUCUAGUUUUAUUAUGAUCUUGUGCUAUUCUCAUUUUCAUUGCAUCAUGUUGUUGUCUUCAACUUGCGAAAUUCCAUUGUAUAAUAGGUAUAUCUUUCACUCUAUAUUUCCUUAUGUUAGUGUGGCUUUGUAUCUUUUCCUUUCAUAGAGAUCACAAGCCUCAAUUUUCCAGCAUUCCAAACUUGCUUUUGCUCUCCAGGUAUAUAUAUAGAUAAUAUCUGCUCAAGUCCUUAUCUAAAGCUGCUGAAACUUUUUGUAUCUGUUCUUAGAUUGUGUAUUUGCUUUUGGUCAUGAUUAUUGUUAUAUUAUAUGUCUUAAGAUAGAAAAUACAGAGGCAUGAAACUGAGACCAGAGAAAACAUUUAUGUCACUGUCUCAAUUUCUCUGAUCCCCAACUUUUGGAUGGAUACCAAAGUGGGCGUAUUUUGUCUUAGGUCAGUGACAUUAUCCCUGUUCUAUUGUGAAUGUUAUCAAAAGCUUGGGUGAUGCAAAUGCGGUUCAAGAACGGUUUAAUGUUCAUGCCAUUUUCGUUAAGAAUGGUUAUUUUGAUGCUAAUUUAUCUAUUAAGGUCUGUUUGUUAGAAUGUAUUUUAGGUGUGGGAAAAUUGAGCUUGCGUGGAGGGUGUUUGAUGAAAGUUCUGAGAGAGACCAUGUAGGUUUAGUUCAUUUUGACUCUGCUGCUCAAGGAACCUGCUCAUGCGUUCUAGCAAUUGUGAUGCCUUCCUUUUUCCUCUAUCUGUGCCAUUUUGAGCCAAAUCCAAUAAAGGAUCCAUCACGUCGAGCUCUUGGGCCUGAGACAGAUAUUGUUGAUCUCAAGAAGAAAGAUGAAUCAAGACAGCAGCCGAUUUUGGUUAGAAUUAGGUGCUUUCAUAUUGCUUUCAAGAAUUAGGAGGAAUAUUAUUCUUUACUUUAGUAUAGGUUUUAUAGUUCAUACCAUGCAUAGAACCAUUUGAGUUCUUACUUUAGGUAUAGCUUUAGGAUUUGAGAGAGUAUAUUGUUGGAUGAGGUUGUAUAUUAUUUUUGUAACUUGUUAAAGGUGGGAUAGAUAUGGGCGAUGUCAUAAAAGUUUACUUUGAUAAAAGAUACCAAAUUAAAUAUUUUCCUUGAUUGAUAUGAUAUGGUGUAAUAAAUAUUUUCUGCAUAAUUCUCCAGCCAUUGAAGUGCCUAAUCUAUUUGUUUAGAGCGUGUGCGGAGAAUGAUAUUCAUAUAUCUGUAUUUAAGAAACAAAAAUGCUUCAUAAAUGCAGCACUAUGAUACUUUGUUUCACUAUUCUUCUAUUCAGAACCUUCCAUAUGAUGUAAAAUACUCAACAACUUUACAACAAUAACUGAUUUGAGCAUGCUCCAUUGUAAUUAGAACAUACCAAGUGAGACCAAUCAACUAUCAUCAUGCAUAGAGAUUUUGUUUACUCUUUGAAUCAAUCAUCUCAUAAUACAUUUUCUACAUUUUAUAGUUAAAACUAAUAACAUUUUACAAAAUCUACAAUACAAUUUAUAGUGAACUAUUGUAAGGAAUGGUGAUGAUCAGAUUUAGAUGGCUUGAUGGGUUGAAAACGAAUUUCAACACCUAAAACUCACCGGCAAGUGUACCGGGUCGCAUCAAGUAGUAAUAACUCACUUAGAGUGAGGUUGAUCCUACAGGGAUUGAUGGAUCAAGCAACUUUAGUUAGGUGAUUGAUUUAGUCAAGCAAAUAAGUGUUGAUUUGAGUGAUUUGUAUCCAACAGAAGCUAAAUUGCAUGAAAUGUAAAGGGAGAGGGAUAAUUGACAAGAAUUUAAAGUGCAGAAGAAUUAAAAGAGUUGAAUCUUAAGGUGCAAGUAAUAUAAAUUGCAGAAACUUAGAUUGCAAGAAACGUAAAUAACUGAAACUUAAAAUGCAAGAAAUGUAAAUGGCUUGAAUCAUAAAAGGAUCCGGGAGCUGGGAGUGCAUAAUUUAAACAAAAGACAAUAAACAUCAAUCAACAGAGGAAUAAAAGAUGACUUGAAUUGAAAUAGAUCUUAAACAGAAGAGUACAAUUGCUUGAAGAAUUUAAAAACAGAAAGUAAAUGUAGCUCAAUUGUAGAAAUUAAAAGAGAAAUUGAAGAUCUUAGGGGUUGAGUGAGACUAGAGAAAAAGUCUAGAUCUCAAUUCCUUCCUUGAUCCACCCAAGAACAAUUGCAAAAGAAAAUGGAAGAGUAAAUUUCAGAAGAAGUAAAAGAAGGCAGUAAACAGAAUUUAGAUGCAAAUCACAGUUUCUAGGAUUAUGCAGAAAAAUAAACAAAGAGAUCUCAAGGUGAGAUUGAAACAGAAUUUCUUCAAUUCUCCACCCAAGGUCCAGAAUAAAGAGUAGAAAGUGCAGAAGCAAGAACAAAGAAGAAGAGAGAUCAAUUCUCCUUCCCAAUUCCCAAACUCCCAAAGCUAGAAAAUAAAAUUGAAAAUUCAAAAGUAAGCAAAAAAGGUUUUAAAAUCAAAAGAAGGUCCUCUCUAACUCAAACUAGCUUCUAUUUAUACACUUCCUCUUUUUUGGAUUUUAGAAUUUGGAGUGGGAUUUUUAAUUUUGUGAAGAAUUGGAUUUUAUUUUAUUUUUAGACUCAAAAUUGAGUUAUGGUGCACUCCCGAGGCACGGCUCAGUUGAAAAACCAAACUGAGCGCCCAAAUUUGCUUUCCUUGCCCAAUUUGGUGCACGUCCCAACCUUGUUCAAGUUACACUUCAUUAGAGCUCAGUUGGAAAACUGAACUGAGCUCUAUAUCCUGUCUUGAAUGCAUCCAAUUGCGCGUCCCAGCCCCUUUGGCCGUGUCAACUUGUGCGCAUGGUUUCCUCCUUGGUGUGCUUCCUAGCGUGCCUGUAACAGCCCAGACCACCCGCUAGCACGAUAUUGUCCGCUUUAGCACACAAGGCCUCACGAUUUUGCCUUUGAUGAUAGGGAUGAUGGCCAAAGCCCCCCACACUCACUCGUCAAAACGCGUCAUGCUAGGGAGAGGUAUCCACACCCUUAUAAGGCAUGCUUCGUUCCCCUCUCCAACCGAUGUGGGCCUUUACAAUCCACCCCCCUAAGGGAGUCCAGCGCCCUCGCUGGCACAUCGAUCUGGGUUCUGGCUCUGAUACCAUCUGUUUGAGGAUGGUAAGCUGUACUCAAGCUUAAUCGGGUUCCAAAAGCUUUCUGAAAUGCACCCCAGAAUCUCGAAUUUCUAAUCGGCUCAAACACAAGGUUCCAGAUACUUCUCGAGCACCAAUUUUUAGACUCUCGAAUCCCUUGAGCAACUUUUCCUCCUGAAGCAUCAUCCAAGACGCAUACAACGACUUCCGACUUAACGCAUCCGCCACUAUAUUCACCUUUCCAGGAUGGUAAUUUAACUCAAAGUCGUAGUCUUUCAACAAUUCCAUCCACCUCCUUUGCCUCAUAUUAAGCUCUUUCUGAUCAAAGAGGUAUUUCAAGCUCUUGUGAUCGGAGAAGACUUGGAACUUAACCCCAUAGAGAUAAUGCCUCCACACCUUCAAGGCAAACACAACCGUAGCGAGUUCCAGAUCGUGCGUAGGGUAACUAACUUCAUGAGGUCUCAACUGUCGUGAGGCAUACGCCACCACAUUAUGAUGCUGCAUCAGCACGCAUCCUAUACCCUUUAAUGAGGCAUCACAGUACACCUCAAAAGGCUCGUUUGGCUCAGGUAACACUAACACAAGUGCAGUGGUCAACUUUUUCUUCAAUGUCUGAAAGCUCUCCUCGCACUCAGGAGUCCAAACAAAAGGAGUGUCUUUGCGGGUUAACUUUGUCAACGGCAAGGUUAAUUGCGAAAAGCCCUUGAUGAACCUUCGGUAAUAGCCAGCUAAACCCAGAAAACUCCUUAUCUCAGUUACUGUGGUUGGUUGCUUCCAAUCCAUCACAGCCUCCACCUUAGUUGGAUCUACGGCUAUUCCCUUCUUACUCACCACGUGACCCAAAAACUUCACCUCACUCUUCCAGAACUCACACUUAGACAGUUUCGCAUAGAGUUUCUUCUCCUAUAGAAUCUGCAAUACGGUCCUCAAGUGUUCCGCAUGCUCUUCUUCAGUUUUGGAAUAAAUUAGUAUGUCGUCAAUGAAGACAACAACAAAUUUAUCCAGAAACGGACGGAAAACUCUAUUCAUGUAAUCCAUGAAUACCGCAGGAGCGUUCGUCAAUCCAAAGGACAUUACAGUGUACUUGUAAUGACCAUAACGAGUUCUGAAAGCGGUCUUAGGGAUAUCCUCACCCCUCACCCUUAUCUGGUGAUAACCGGAUCGCAAAUCAAUCUUAGAGAAAACCCCAGCUCCUUGUAACUGAUCCAUGAGAUCAUCAAUCCUCGGCAAUGGGUACUUAUUCUUUAUGGUGACCUUGUUCAGCUGCCUGUAAUCCACACAGAGCCGCAUACUUCUAUCUUUCUUCUUUACUAGUAACACUGGAGCUCCCCACGGGGAAACACUUGGUCGGAUAAAGUUCUUACCCAACAAUUCCUCUAACUGAGACUUUAGCUCGGCCAUCUCUAACGGUGACAUCCUAUAAGGAGCACUUGAGAUUGGUCCCGCCCCAGGCACCAACUCAAUAGCAAACUCGACCUCUCAGUUAGGUGGAAAUUCCUCAAUAUCAUCGGAAAACACUUCCAGAAACUCACACACUACCGGAAUCUGAUCCAACCUUUGAUCAUCACCCGAAACACCCGCGGUUAACAACAGGAUACCCUGACAUUCGAUUCCAGAACAGUUCACCAUCAUCGAAUUCAAGUAAUAAUUAUUCACCACGACCGGCCCUUCUGUAUCUUCUCCGGCAUAAAGUACACCGACUUUGUAGAGCAAUCAAGCAGGACAUGGUUUUCGGAUAACCAGUCCAAUCCCAAGAUAAGAUCAAGACCGAUAAUCGGUAAGCAGAUUAAAUUAUGGACAAAAUUACGCUGCUUGAACCUAAACGAAACUUUCGGGCAUCCUAGCCUAGUUACCAUGGCUUCAUGGGUAGCAUUAUACACUUUUAAGUCAUAACCUAAGGUUACGAUCUUCAAUCCUAACUCAUGGGCUUUCUCAAAUGCAAUGAAUGAAUGCGAUGCUCCCGAAUCAAAUAAAGCAUUUAAAGUUUGACCAGCCAUUUCACAGUUACCUCGAAUGAGUGUCUCAGAUCCUUCUGCACCCACAGCUGAGGUGGUGAACACCCGACCAGUCUGUUGUGCUUUUCCAGCACCUUGCUUUUGCUUCUCCAGACAACUUGCGGCUUUAUGCCCCGCCUUUCCACAAUUGUAGCACAAACCCCAUCCGGCCUGGCAUAGUACUCCCGGAUGGUGACUCCCACACCUAGUACAAGCUUGAUCAUUUUGAGGCUGCUUCCCAAACCUUUUCCCUUGGGAGUUGUUGUUGUUGGGCCUCCUAAAAGAACCUCCCCUCUUAAAAGGUGGACCUCUAGGUGCAAAGCUCUUCCCUCGGUUCUGUGGGAAUGAUCUUUUGUGACUUCCUUUCUCAACGGCUGCCCUCUUCAUGCACUCUUCAGCAACCCUACACUUGUUCACCAAUUCGGAGAAAGUCCUAAUCUCCAUUGGCCCCACUGAACCGAAAAUAUCACUUCGGAGUCCUCCUUCGUACUUAACACACUUCCAUUCCUCAUAUUCCACCGGAGUCCCUUGACACAUACGAGAGAAUCUGAACAGCUCCUCAAACUUAUCAGUAUACUCAGAUACGGACAUAGUACCCUGCUUCAGCUACAACAAUUCAAGCUCCUUGGCCAUCCUAGCAGAAGUCGGAAAGUACUUCUUAUAGAACUCCUCUUGGAAGACAUCCCAGGUGAUAUAAUCAUCACCCUGCUGCAGAAGGCGUCGGAUACCCUGCCACCAAUGCGACGCUUCACCAGUGAGAAAAUAGGUAGCGAACUCCACACGCUGCCCUUCAGGUACCACCUGCGCUUGCAGUGCUCGUUCCAUAGCCUGAAACCACGUAUCGGCUUCAGUCGGGCUAGUAGUUCCCUUGAACUUCGGUGGAUUAACCUUCAAAAAGUUUGCCAGUGUCAUCGGGCCUUGAACUCCACCUCCAUCAUUACCAUGGUUGUUCAUCUGUUGACCAAGAGCCUUAGUAGUGGCUUGCAUAGCAGCAGCCAUGUUCUCCAACGGAGUCAUAAAGUUCACCGGAUCAUUAGGGUUAGUCUCCGGCACACGAGCAUUCGUAUGUCCUCUCCCACGACCUCUACCGCAUCCACGAGGCGCCAUCUGGUUCCUAUACACACCAAACAAUCGAUAUUAAGUUGAUCAGUCUCAAUAUCGGAAGUUUAGUGCUUCAAAGUCCCAAAUGCAUGCUCAUGAACAUUUAUGCCAAUUAUAUCAAGCAGAUAUACUAACAGCACAUAACACACAUACAGAGAAUGCACAGAAGCAUAGUCAGUCCAUUCCUCAGGCUCUACAGGAACGAACUGCUCUGAUACCAUCUGUAACAGCCCAGACCACCCGCUAGCACGAUAUUGUCCGCUUUGGCACACAAGGCCUCACGGUUUUGCCUUUGACGAUAGGGAUGAUGGCCAAAGCCCCCCACACUCACUCGUCAAAACGCAUCAUGCUAGGGAGAGGUAUCCACACCCUUAUAAGGCAUGCUUCGUUCCCCUCUCCAACCGAUGUGGGCCUUUACAACCAUAAUGUAACACCCUACCAUACAGAGUCUUAUGCUUAAGUCAUAAUUCAGAGAUGGCAAGGUAUUACGACCUCUAAAACAAAAAUUUAGUACGUAUAGUAGUAUGAAUAAUUGAUUAUAACUAGGAGCCUUGUAGAAAAAGGGGUAAACAAAAACCGUAACUCGAACGCACAACACUCUGAUCGAUAACGCAACGAGCAAAGGAUAAGCGAACGCGAGAUAACAUAUGUACAAAGGAGUGUCAAAAGCAGGAAUAUCAAGACUCAAAAUCCGGCUGCGAAGAUAACCGGUCCGAGCAUAGCAAUAUAUACAUAUAAUAGGCAAUCUCAAACAAUUCAUGUAGUAUGCUUAUGAUGCAUGCCUGUCCCUAGUGGCUGAUGAUAUCAUCUGUCGGUUAUAGAGCCAACCCGACAAGUCCUGGUAGCUAACCAUUGGACUGUUCCUCUAUCGUGCAUCCCCAACUCGAGUUAUACUCAUCAGAAACUUGAUCAUAAUCAUGAUCCAUAUCCAUCACCCUCACUGGUGAAUAUUUAUCCAUCACCAUCACUGGUGAAUAUUUAUGGGGGCGAGCUCAUCCGGGCCUUUCACAGUGCCCGGCCACACUUACGACAUUGGGUUAACAGAGCUUCGAGUUUCAACCUGGAGCACGUGGUGGCUAGCCACUGCUACUACCCAGGGAAACCCUCAUCUCCAAUGCUAGAAGUGCAAACAUUCACAAUUCAUUCAACAACAUAUAUGCAUUUAUACUUAGCAUAAACAAGGCUCCGCCGUCACACGGCAUAAUCCAGCCAUCCGGCUCACGGUUAAAUCCAUAACCAGCCAAUUCAUUAACAAUUAUGGCCCUUCGACCCAUGGCAUAACAAGCACUUCCACCGCCAUUCUCCGCAUCUCACAUAAUCAUCUUUGAUCCUCAAUGAUCAUUCAUUUUUCCCCUUGCUUCACUCGCAAGUUACCACAUUCACUAGCCCUUUUUCUCAUGCUAGGCAUAUCAUAAUGAUUUAAGACAUAAGUGGUGAGAUCGGAGGCUUAGAAGUAUGAAAUUUGGCUUUUAAAACUGAAAAAUCAACUUUGGGAUGAAAACAGGGCCACGCGUACACGCACUCCACGCGCACGCACGGAUGGCCUUAUAACUCAUCGACGCGCAAGCGUCAUACGCGCGAACGCGCGGGUUGAAAAUUAGCCAAACGACGCGCAAGCGUCAGCCACGCGUACGCGUGGGUGCUCUUGCGCCCAGGCACAAAACUGGCACAACUCUGGCACAACUCUCUGGAAAAUGGCUGGGCAUUUGGUGCAGCGCAUCGACGCGCCCGCGCACACCACGCGUACGCGUAGAUGGUGCUUUCUUGAAGAAGGGCGCUUACGCGCCAAGUGCGCCUACGCGCGCGGAGGGUUAUUCUGCUAAAAAUUUUCUAAGUUAAAAGCUGCAGAAUUCACAGAUUCAACCCCCAAUCUUCCGACGGUCAUAACUCUCUCAUUUUAAAUCAUUUUUCACCCGUUCUUCGAACGGCAUGGACAUCCCGGAUCCAAUUUCAUUUCUAAACAGAUUUGACACAAAUCAGAGAUCCGUAGUCCAGGUUAUGUCCCAUCAAAGUAUGCCCAAAAACCAUGUUUUCAUACAAAACCACAAAGUGCCAUUUUCAAAACAAGCCACUUUCAACUCUUUUCAAAAUCAAUCAAAACAUGCCAAUUUCAACCCUUUUCUUUGAAAUCAUUUAAAAUGUACCAAAAUCAACAACAAGCCAUCCUCAACUCACACAUUGACACUUUACCAAAAUUUCCAAAACCACAUCCAACCAUUUUAACACUUCUCAAUCAAAUGGCUAAAGGACAAACACAAUAUCAUGUCAUACAUCCUUCCUCAUCCCAAUUUCCAAUAAUUCCAUUUCCAAUCAACCAUCAUUAUACAUAAUCAUCAUCAUACUCACCAUCAACAUGGUACCACCCAUCAAUUCAACCUCAAUCAUUCAUCAAGCAUAUAUCACAACAUGCAUUUUCUCAUAUAUCACACAAUCAAGGCAUCAAUAUUCAUAAUCACAUAUAUGAUCACAUCAUAUAUCUCAAUCAUUCAACAACAUCAUCAAUUCAAUGCCUAUCUUAGGGCCUCUAGCCUAAGUAUUUCCUACCACAUUACGUAUUAGAUACGAAAAACCGAAACCAUACCUUAGCCGAUUUCCCACGCUCAACCGGAGCACUUCUAAACCACUUGUCCACAAGCCCUCAAGGUAUCAACACCUCCAAGAACAGAUUUUAUCACACAAAACCCUCUCCCAAGCUUUCCAAAAUCACCAAUCAAGCUCCAAUAUUCACAUAUACACAACCUAAGCCACAAUCAUCAUAUCCAUACACAACAUCUCAAUACCCAAACAUCAUAGAACAAUAAUUUACACUAGGGUUGAGAAUCUUACCACACCCAAAGUCCAAGAAGACAAGAUUAACCUUCUCCUUCAAGAGAGUUGGAUCCUAUAACAUCAAAUAGCCCAAAAUCUCAACAUUUUUGCUCAUGAAACUCGAAAUCAAGGCUGGAAAUUCGAAGAGCAAAACGUGGCUUACCUCAAGAUUGAUUGUAUGGGUUUUGUAAAGCUCUCCGCGGUGAACGCGUGGCCGCAAACGGUGCGGCAAUCGGAGCUCUAGAUCAAAAGUUAUGGUGGUUUGAAGAUCAACCAAAGGAGAGAACUUGAGAGAGUGUUCUUCCCUCCAUGGCCUCCAUUUUCAGCGUGUUUAGUGUAUUGUGAGGAGAGAGAGUGCUGAAAACUAGGGUUUUGGUUUAGUUUAGUUGGGCCAAGGGCCCACUUUGGGUCCGGUUGGACCGGUUUGGCCCGUUCGAUCCAAUCUUGGUCCGAUUUCCAUAAAAUUGGUACCGAAAUUCUUGUCUCACUCUCCUCUAUCACAUUUAGCCAUAAAAAUAACAUUUUUGGCUUUCUAGAAUAAAUUCUCAUUUAUGGGUUAAUUAGCCGUUAAUUAACCGGGUCUUACAUUCUACCCACCUAAUUGGGAAUUUUGCCCACAAAAUUCAAAUUCAAUUACCUGAGAAUAGAUGCGGAUAAUCCGUUCGCAUCUCCGACUCAAGUUCCCAAGUGUGUUCCUCAACACCGCCUCGACUCCAAGCCACUUUGACUAAUGAAACCUCUUUUCCACGCAAUCGUUUGAUACUAGUAUCAUCAAUUCUGACUGGAGCCACUGGAAGCAUCAAAUCUUCCCUUAACUGAACCGAUUCGGGUUCUAACACAUGGCUAGCAUCAGGGGUGUACUUCCGAAGCUGCGACACGUGAAACACAUCAUGCAGGUUCGAAAGAUGAGGUGGUAGAGCCACCCGAUACGCCACCGGCCCAAUCCUCUCCAGGAUCUGAAAUAGAUCGAUGUAUCGAGGAUUCAACUUCUUUGCUUUAAUCGCUCUACCUACUCCUGUGGUCGGAGUAACCUUCAGGAAAACAUGAUCUCCUUCCUCAAAUUCCAAGGGCUUCCGCCUCUGAUCGGCGUAACUCUUUUGGCGACUCUGCGCCGUAAGCAUCCUAUCUCGGAUUUUCUUGACUUGUUCAGUGGUCUCCGCUAUCAUCUCCGGCCCCAACAAGCCUUUCUCUCCAGCUUCAUACCAACAUAGCAGAUAUUGACAUUUCCUCCCAUACAAUGCCUCAUACGGAGCCAUUCUGAUGCUCGCAUGGUAACUAUUAUUGUAUGCAAACUCCACUAAUGGCAUAUAUCGAUCCCAACUCGCCUGUUGAUCCAAAACACAAGCUCUCAACAUAUCCUCUAGGGUUUGGCUAUCAACUCCAGUUGUUGCAGAGUUUGUUGGUGCAUCUGCUUGUUUUGGUUCAUGACUGCAUUUACUCCUUCAAGAUCCACCACCCCCUUUUCUAAACUUGCACUAAGGAGCCUCUCAGAUGAGUGUUGAUUGUUGGUCCACAUAUCAAUGAAAUCUACUGUUUCUUGGGUAUUUUUCAUUGCUUGGAGUAGGCCUUCUGAGAAGUAAUCUAAUGCCUUUCUUGUUUUCAGGGUCAGUCCUUCAUAGAAAGUUUGGAAGCCCACUUUAUCACUGACUACCUUGUAUCUUUCCCAUGCCUUAAAGAGUGGUUCUUCUUCUUCUUGUGCAAAGGGUUGCAUCUCUCCUUUCAGCUUAGUGUUUCUCUGAGAUGAGCCAUUGUUGGCCACUCCUUUUGGUGGAUUAGAGGGAUUCCCUUCCAUCCGUUGCACAAUCACAAAAGUCCAAAUGAAGAUUGAAUAUGCUCACGCCAUAAUGUGGUUAGAGGGUUAGUUGACACAAUGUGUCAAAUAGUUAAUAGGCUUAAAAGAGAAACAGAAAAGACUUGCUUCUGUUGUAUGCUCAGCACAAGAAACACAAAAACCAGAAAACCAGGAAAUCUUCACUUUAUUGCUAAAGUGAGGUUUUAGUUAGCUUAAGCAAAAAUUCAAACAGUUAGUGUGUUAGUAAAAAAUUAAAGACAUAGAAAAGAAAAAGUGCUUGAUCUAGACCUUCACCUUCCUUAGUCAUUGUCAAUCUAAUCAAUCUCCGGCAACGGCGCCAAAAACUUGAUGGGUUGGAAACGAAUUUCAACACCUAAAACUCACCGGCAAGUGUACCAGGUCGCAUCAAGUAGUAAUAACUCACUUAGAGUGAGGUCGAUCCCACAGGGAUUGAUGGAUCAAGCAACUUUAGUUAGGUGGUUGAUUUAGUCAAGCAAAUAAGUGUUGAUUUGAGUGAUUUGUAUCCAACAGAAGCUAAAUUGCAUGAAAUGUAAAGGGAGAGGGAUAAUUGACAAGAAUUUAAAGUGCAGAAGAAUUAAAAGAGUUGAAUCUUAAGGUGCAAGUAAUGUAAAUUGCAGAACUUAGAUUGAAAGAAACGUAAAUAACUGAAACUUAAAAUGCAAGAAAUGUAAAUGGCUUGAAUCAUAAAAGGAUCCAGGAGCUGGGAGUGCAGAAUUUAAACAAAAGACAAUAAACAUCAAUCAACAGAGGAAUAAAAGAUGACUUGAAUUGAAACAGAUCUCAAACAGAAGAGUACAAUUGCUUGAAGAAUUUAAAAAUAGAAAGUAAAUGUAGCUCAAUUGCAGAAAUUAAAAGAGAAAUUGAAGAUCUCAGGGGUUGGGUGAGACUAGAGAACAAGUAUAGAUCUCAAUUCCUUCCUUGAUCCACCCAAGAACAAUUGCAAAAGAAAAUGGAAGAGUAAAUUUCAGAAGAAGUAAAAGAAGGCAGUAAAUAGAAUUUAGAUGCAAAUCACAGUUUCUAGGAUUAUGCAGAAAAAUAAACAAAGAGAUCUCAAGGUGAGAUUGAAACAAAAUUUCUUCAAUUCUCCACCCAAGGUCCAGAACAAAGAGUAGAAAGUGCAGAAGCAAGAACAAAGAAGAAGAGAUAUCAAUUCUCCUUUCCAAUUCUCAAACUCCCAAAGCUAGAAAAUAAAAUUGAAAAUUCAAAAGUAAGCAAAAAAGGUUUUAAAAUCAAAAGAAGGUCCUCUCUAACUCAAACUAGCUUCUAUUUAUACACUUCCUCUUUUUUGGAUUUUAGAAUUUGGAGUGGGCUUUUUAAUUUUGUGAAGAAUUGGAUUUUAUUUUAUUUUUAGACUCAAAAUUGAGUUAUGGUGCACUCCCAGGGCACGACUCAGUUGAAAAACCAAACUGAGCGCCCAAAUUUGCUUUCCUUGCCCAAUUUGGUGCGCGUCCCAGCCUUGUUCAAGUUACACUUCAAUAGAGCUCAGUUGGAAAAUUGAACUAAGCUCUAUAUCUUGUCUUGAAUGCGUCCAAUUGCGCGUCCCAGCCCCUUUGGCCGUGUCAACUUGUGCGCAUGGUUUCCUCCUUGGUGUGCUUCCUAGCGUGCCAAUGUGUGGGGAGUGGGGGAAGAGUAGCGCUCAGUUGGGGAAACAAACUGAGCUUUCCCUUUGUGGCGCCUUGCUUUGGGCUUCAUGCUUCCAAGUUCGAUCCUUGGUGGAAGCAAAUUGAUGCUAAUUUCCUUGGGAGAGUGGAGCGCUCCUUCCUUGCCUUUCAUGAGGCUCCCUAGUUCGAACCUUGGGGAAGGCUUUUUGGCCAAUUUUUGCUUGUUUUCCUUGCAAGGAGCAUUCCUUCAUUCCCUUGGUUCAUGAGUUCGAAACUUGAUGGCUUUAUUCCUUGGAAUUUUGCUUUGAAUUUAUUUUUGAAGAAGCCCGAUAAAGCUCACUUAGUGAACUGAGCUUUAUGCUUUUGCCUUGCUUUCUUGGAUGCUCAGUUGACUAAGUUAAAUUAGCUUUGUGCCUUGCUUCCUUUUUUUUUUUUGGUUCUUUGUGAAGUUCGGUUUACUCACCCAACCUAGCUUCCCUUAUUUCUCAAUGAUGCCACGCUUUUCUUCUCCUUUGGCUACGCUUCUUGUUUCCCUUGGGCACACUUCUUAGGCCACGCUUUUCUUAAUUUUUUUUCUUUUCUUCACCUACAAGUAAUCAAAACAACCAAUCAAAGUAUCACCAAAUUCACAAGGUUUAAAAUUCAUUUAAAAUCAAUUAAUUCAAGCUUAAACCUCAUGAUUUUGUGUCAAUUAAAGGGUGGUUGAUUGAUUCAACAAAACCAUACAAAUCCACUCCAAAUUACUUACUUACAAUGCAAGAAAGUACAUAAAACCUAAUGAAACAAGUGAAAAUUACUUGAAAAUCUAGCAUAAGAUGACUUGUCAUCAUGGCUCCUACCAAAAUUUCCAUUCACAAGCCAAAAAAAAAGGUUCAUAUUCUCUUUUAAAUGCCUUGACUUGACUAGGAUAGGAAUCUUUGGAUAAGCAGUUCUAAGUAGUUCAUUAGAAAGAAACCGAAUCUGUGAAAUUUUCAAAUGGAGUUGGUCAUGGCAUGAUCAUCCCCUAGCAAUGACAAUCUUCUCUUAGCUACUUUAGACCUGUAGCACCAUACUUCAAAUGCCUCAGUUAGGUUCGAAUACCAAAUACACUCAUUUUCCAACCAUUCAGUUAAAACCUCUGCCUGAUCUGUAGACAACAACGCAAUAAUAAUGGAAACAAAAUAAGACUCUAGAGAUUGCCAUAGCUCUCCAUCCAUCUUAAUCACCUGCCAUCUUCACCAUCUGCACUUUCUCUUGAGAACUGUAAGCCCAAUAUUCAGAUUUCUUAAAGCUUCUACACUUGGCACAUCAAAAUACUUGACCAAAUCUGGUAAAGCAAUUUUUGCUAUGUGGUCACUUUGAGCCUUCCUUUUCUUUUCUCGAAAACCUACAACCAUUCAUCUAAUCAAAUGAGAUGAUUAAAUCUACAAUUGGAAUCUUCAGAAAUGAGACGGAGGAUUUAGCAUAGGCUGGGCAAGCAGAGAUCAUCUGGCUAAUGAUGCAUUCGCAUUUUCGCUAGUUUAGCUAGUUAGUUUAGUUAAUUUUAGUUCAAUUUCAUGCAUAUUACUCAAAUAAAUAAGUACUAAAAUGGAUUCUCUCAUUAUACUUUGAUAGAUUGAGGACUAAAUGAAUUGUGCUCAAUUUCAUGCAAACAAUUGAAGAAAAGUAUGAAUGAGUGAGUUAUCUAAAGAUAGUUGCUCAAGGAACAUAGCUUUGAUGUAUUGCUAUUCUAUUUUGUGAUCAUAACAGGGGAAGAAGAGCAUAGCGCUACGCUCACUUAAGCUUGAAGAACGCUACGUUCUCCUGCAGCAUGGCUCUUAGCGUUACGCUCUCUUUCAAAGAGCGCCACGUUCUUCACCAAGAAAGUUUUGCUAGCAACGCGUACGCAUGGGUGACGCGUACGCGUCGAAGUGGUGAUUUUUAGAAGACCACGUGUACGCGUACACGUGGAUAUGAGAAGCGUUCUUCAACCAAGAGCGCUACGUUGUCUACCCAAGAGCGCCUGCGAUGCUUUUAAAAGUAGGAUUGAAGAUUUGCCAUCGACACGUACGCAUGGCGGACGUGUACGCAUGGAAGUGGCGUUUGUAAAGAUCCACGCGAACGCGUGGACCAAGCAGCAGCAUGGAAGUGGAUUUCUAAGCCCACACGUACGCAUGGAUGACGCGUACGCGUGGGAGAGUGCUCUUGGCAAGAACGCUACGCUCACAUGGGGAGUGCACUGAAGAUAACGCAUACGCGUAGGUGACGCGUACGCGUGACGAGGGCUGCAGAGAGAAAUGACGUGCACGCGUAGGUGACUGACGGGCGGAAAAUUGCUGAUUAAGAAAUUAACAUAGAAAUAACGUUGCGAGUACAGUUCUUAACCGACGAAAACUCCGCUUAUCAAUUUAGAAAGAAUUGUCACAAACUGAGAAUAAAAUACUGAGAGUAAAAUUCCCAGGUCGUCUCCCAACGAGUUGACAAAAGAGUGCAAUUUAUUGGUCAGGAAUUUUCCGAGAAAUUUUGAGAGUUGGAGAACAGAAAAAUAAAUGAUUGUAAAUUAAAGUAAUGAAAAUUAGAAAGAGAAUUUAUAUAAUCAAAGUAAAAAGCCUUGACCGGGAGAAGAUUAAUUGGAAGUUCUAUCCUUGUUGAAUUUUCCCAAGUGUAAUAGUAAGAGGUUGUUGUUUUUACUUAGUUAACCUUUACUAAAUAAAGGAAAGUCAAGUAAUUGAGUUAACUCUGAUUCACAAGUCCUAAUCCUCUCCUAUGGAAGGAUUAGCGUUAGUGAAUAAAGAGUUAGCCAACAACUUCCAAUUAAAAUUGACACUUGAGUAUUCCAACUCAAGGGUCUCCUGUUAAUCAACUCCCAAGUUGAGUUAGGAGUCUACUCCAUUGAUAUGAAUGCCAUUUUCAUAAACCAUAAAAGGGGAAGAAAAGAAGACAUGAUAAAUUAAAUAAAAUAAUAACUGAAAAAUUAAUUAAAGGUAAAAAUAGUUCUUUGCAUUAAUAAAUCCCAAAAUAAAAAAUAUCCAUACUUCAAUCUGAACAGGGUUAAUGGGUGAUUAAAAGAAUAAAGGAAUAAGAAAACAAACUAGAAUGAUAGAAACUUCAACGGAGGUAGUAACUCUUCUCAAUAUCCAACUCAAAAGAAUAAAACUCUAAAACUAUGAAUGUGAAGAAAACCUAGAGGAAGAAGUAUUUCUCUCUUCGAUUCAAAACUAAAACUGAAAACUGUGCGAAUGAGAAUGUGUGUUGAGUCUCUACUUGUCCCCUAGCCUAGUCUGCAUUUCUGGGCCAAAAACUGGGUCCAAACUCAGCCCAAAAUCGCCCCCAACGUCUUCUGCAUUUUCUGCACGUGGUGCAUGUCAUGCGUACGCGUCAGUCACGCGUACGCAUCGUUGGUCUUCUUCGCGUGUCACGCGUACGCGUCAGGUACGCGCACGCGUGAGCCAUGCGUGCGCGUCAAUCCUCGCUGGUUAUCUCCUUUAUUUCUUGUGCUCCUUCCAUUUUUGCAAGCUUCCUCUCCAUCCUCUAAGCCAUUCCUGUCCUAUAUAGCUUGAAGACACUUAACGCACAGAUCAUGGUAUCGAAUGGUAUAAAGGAGAAUUAAAAUACACAAUUUAAAAGCUUAGGAAGCAAGUUUUUAACCAUAGAACAAAAUUGGGAAGGAAUUGUAAAAUCAUGCAAAUUGUAUGAAUAAGCGUGCAAAGACUUGAUAAAAACCACUCAAAUUAGCAAAAGAUAAAUCAUAAAAUAGUGGUUUAUCAAUGACGCGUAUGCGUCGCAAGUGCCAAAAUGAUAAACGACGCGCACGCGUGGGAGACGCAUACGCGUCAAUGCCUGAGCGCUCCGUUUUCCUAUUUAGCGCUGCGUUCUCCUGGAGCAGGAUCCAAGUACCAACCAAAAAGCCCAUUUUGAAGAGUUUCCAAGUACACCUGAAGAAGCAAGUACACUAGUAUAAAUGGAGGGCAUCUUGAAUUAUUUAGAGGGCUUCUAGUUCCACUUUAGCUGGAUCUUCUUUUUUAGUUUCUUUUUCUUUUAGAUCUCUUUUGUACUUUUGCACUUAUUAAUUUUACUCUCUGCUGAGACUCUGCAAUGCUUUUCUUUCUGUUCACAAUUUUACUUUCCAGUUUUGAAUUUUACAUUUCCAGUUUCAUUCCUGUUUCCAAUUUUAUUUUCUUUUUCUUUUCUAUGUUCAGUUUAAUUUCCAAUUUUAGAAUUCUGUUUGAGCUGAGAGCUAUGAGUCACUAAACCCCAAUUUGAUUAGGGAGAGGAGCUCUAUUGUAAUCAUAAUAAAUCAAUGAAAUUCUUCUUCUUCUCAAUUCAUUUAGGUAGCUAAAGGACAACUUCUAUUUUGAUUGUGAAUUAUUCACUCCGGAAGGGGGUUUAAUUCAAUUGAAUGCUUGUGUGAGCCUCGGAAGGGGAAUCACUUGCCUUAGAAUUGGAGCUCUAUCCUUCAUAAUUCUCUUAACCAACACCAUUCGGGAGGAAUUGGGAUUUUGAGAGUUUGUGUUGCUUAUGGAUAAGAGAAUGUACUCUAACUCUUCUCAUGACAAUUAGAUCAAAGAAUUGGCAAGAUUGAUUGUGAUUAGAGAGAUUGGAUUGCCAAGGAAUUGGGAUCCAAUCAAUUUCAAUCCGCCAUAGAUCUACUCAUAUGAUUGAGAAAGGAGUUGAGACCCAUUUGGUUCAUGAUGGAUUAUAGUAUCUCCAAUUCCUAAUGAAUCAUUUUCUUUGAAUUUCUUCAAUUAAAAUCAUUCUACAUUUACUUUAAUUGCAAUCUUUCUCUGCUGUCUUAAUUUUCAGUACCCAACCCCCUCUACAAUUCAUGAAAUUUAAGUUUCAUUGCCAUUCUGCACUUCUACUUUCUUGCAAUUUAAGAUUCAUCUCUUUUAUUCUCUUGCUCCUUAAGUUUCAGUCAUUUAAAUUUCUUGUCAUUUAAGUUUCAAGCAAUUUACAUUCAGCACUUUAGAUUUCUUGCAAUUUAUUUUCUGUUGAUCAUAUUUCACUCAAUUCAUCACUUGUUAGCUUGACUAGACUCAUCACCAUACUAAAAUUUCUUAAUCCAUCAAUCCCUAUGGGAUCGACCUCACUCUGGUGAGUUUUACUACUUGAUGCCACCCGGUACACUUGCCGGUAAGUUUGUGCGAAUUCAAUUUUUCGCCAUUAGCUAACACAUCUACUGCACUAUAACUUUUAUCCAUAUCGAGUGAACUGUGCUAGACAAUUAUACCUAUCACUAAUGGAUUAAGAGAAGACUGACUCAGAACCUGGUAAGCUUUCAACAUUUGUCUUCUUGUCGAUCAACUCAGUUGUGUUUUCAUCCAAAGGAUGGCAAUUUAGAUCCUGAUUAAAUACAGGCAAGACUUCCUGUGAUGAUUGUUGACCAUCGCUAUUUCCCUGUGAUUCUUCCUUUGAAGAAUCUAGCAGAUCAUCUUUGACUUCUGCUUUCAAUUCCAUCUUGUAUAUAAUCUGGAGAUCAUUAAGCAAGUUAGGAAUUACCUUGAGUUUUGAGUUUCUGAAAGGAUAAAUAAAAUUAUGUUAUUAUAAUAGAGAGUUAGAAUAUAAUAUAAGAUUACUAGACACUCACAUUUUCAUAUAACAUGAAAAAUAUGUUGCUUCAAUCAAAUGUGUUCAGUCUGAGUAGCCAUUACUUAUUUCCCAGGAUAAUCAAUAAAUCAAGAAACAUAUUCAGGACUAAGAAAACAAAAUAAUAUAAAUAAAGGGAUAUACACCUACUCCACUUUCAGUCCACUAUACUACAGUGUACAGUUAUCCACUGCAAUAAACUAGACUGGACAAACAAAUGUGGAUCAGUUGGUAGAUAUUGCUGUUACAAAGAUAGAAAAAAAAAGUUUAUAAGGGUCAACCAGUUUCAUACUGAAACAUUGUUUCACUCUCAUAAAAGAACUCUAUUUUCUCAAAGGAAGAAAACAGGGGAGAUCCACAUCCAAUUAUAACUUGCAAAGUACAACCAAAAGCUUUGCUAAACAUUUAUGCAGCAUUCACCUUGAUUUAAUUUUCAAUUGUUACAACAAUUGGCUUCUCUAAAUGACCCUUUUCUACAAACACUAGGUUGGUCCAUUUGAUUCUCAUUGCAAUGUGCACAUUUGCAGCUGAACACGUGAACCAGCUUCAUCAAUAGGAUCUAUAGCUUUGUCUGGCAAAAAUCGAUCACUGCAAUACACAAUUAUUUGAGAGAGGAAAUAUGGCAAAUACAUAGAGUAAUUGUAUUAUACAAUUGCAAUUGCUGAUGCUAAAUAGAUGAUCCAGCUUCACUAGUGUUAGUAUUAAUAAUGUCGUUGUUAACAUGAGAAUGAGAAAUUAUCUUGCAAUUCAAUAUUUUGCAGAGGUUGAAUGAAUAAUGUGAGAAAUUAUUUGAUAAAUUAACAAGGAAAAAGUUUUUGCUGAGGAACCUGGAUGAUGUUGGCAAAGAAAUGCAAGUACACGACGAGAGCGGUGCUGUGAGCUGCAGCAGCGAUGGAGCCGACGGUGCCGUCAGAAAAAGUCUUUGCUGGAGGAACUGGGUUCUUCUUCUUCUUUGUCCAGAAGGAGAGGAGAAAGACGAAGAACGGCUAGCGGCUGCUGGUGCGUGCUGCUAUGCGUGAAGAUCGACGGAGAGGAGGCGUGGCUACGAGAAAGGGAGAGGAUGAUGAUAGAAUGCGGCUGUCCGGUAGGAAAUUAGGGGUGAGGUUACUCUUUAGAUUUUUAUUUUUUUUCUGGGUAUGAAUAGGGAAGGAGAAAUUAGAUUAGGGUUCAUCACAAACAAAGUAAUUUUGCAAUGUAUAUGCAUAAUGAAAUGUAUUUUAGUUUUAAUUUUUAAAUUGACUCAAAUAUAAAAUUAUAAACUAAAGUUAAUUGAAUUUUAAUUAAAUUAAAAGGAUUAAGGUGAUUUUUGUCCAAUAAAAAAGAAAAUAAUAUUUAAGUUUUUUCAUUAAUAUUAAAUAAAAUUUAUUUUUAUUUUUAUUAAAGUAUAAGGGUGACUUAGGAAAAACAUUGAUAUAAUUUGUAUUUUAAAAAAGAAAAAUUAAUUAUUGACGUGGGAAACAUAAUCCACAUGUCUUGUUCUAAUUUGUCUACAUUUUUAUUAUAUCGGUACAUAUGAAUUUAUCAUCGUACCGUAGCAAACAUAAAGCAAUGGUUGAGAAUUGAUUGGUUUAAGCUUUCAAACACCAACUUCUUGCUAAGCAAACCAUCCAGUUUUGAUAUUUUUUUUCUUAUCAAACAAAAACUGUAUCAUGUAAAGAUAUUCUGAUAAUAGUUUUUCUUAUCCUCAAAUGGAAAGAGUAAGAUAAAUAAGAAAAAUUAGAAAGUUUGCAGAAUAAGAGAAUGUACUUUUAUAGUUUUAUGUCAAUGUAUCUAAAUAUUUUACUAUAAAUAUUCCAAACGUCACAGAAAAAUCAGAAUCCAGACCCAUAUUUAAUUCCAAGUUCCAACUAACAAGAAUAAAUUAAACUAAACUACCUCCAAUACUAACUAUAAAGAAUUAUAAGAAUUAAUUACUCUCUUCACGUUUCAUUCCUUGCUCUCUCACUGUCACGCUAUUAAGACCUCUUCCUGUUAACGCAGUCAACAAACCUUAAAAAAAAAGGAAAGAGGAGAGUGAGUUCUGAAUAAUAUAUUCCAUCAACUUAUUCAUUUGUAUAUUUAUUGACAUGUAGUUGAACUAAAAUUAAUCGAAUAAUCUAAUUCAAUUUUAAAAACUAGCUUAUUAAAGAAGAUCAAAAUUAUAUUUAACAAAUAUAUCAUAUUUUCUAGAACAUCUAGAACUGAAUAUUUAAAAUUGAAAUAUGCGAUAUACAUGUGACCCAACAAAUAUAAAAUAGAAUAUGAUACCAUAUUAUAACUGAACAAUUUAAAAGAUAGCUUAAAGAAUAGUAAAGAUUGAACAUAAUUUGCAUAUCAAUACACAUCAACAUGUAUAACUAUUAUAAAGAUACAUACAUACUCUAAAAGCCCAUAAACAACAAGUACGAGAAACUAACAUACACCUUUAAUCUAAAGAUAGGGUGAUAUGUAUUUGAUUGUAACAUUAAUUUUAAUGUAUAAACAAUAACUGUGACUUGUGAAGCUAGUUUGUAAAAUUGGAUUGUCAAACCAAUAAAUAAAGCUAACAUUGUACAUUCAUCAAAUUGUUAUAUAUAAAAAAAAAAUCAGUCUUUUCACAUACCUUAUGGAUUAUUAGGUUUAUUCGAAUCAGAUUGAUUAGGUCCUACAAUGACUCCCAAAAUACUCUGAACACUGAUAAUAAUCAUUAAUAAAAUAAAAAAAAGUUAAUGAUUGCACUAAUAAUCAAGAAUUGUAAAAGAAAAAAAAAGAAAAUUGGUUUGAAUUGAAUUGAAUUAAGAGUUUUACCACUCUAACAAAAAACGACGACCCAAGUUGAAAUUGAUGGUAGCUUUUUCUUCCUUGUUGGUUUGAAGAAUUUUAAUAAGAAUUGGAAUUUGAACUCCAAGGAGUAAGAAACGAUGUCAGACGAGGAGCAACGUCCACUGCCUUUGCCGUCGAAGUUGCACCACCACGACCAAUGGUUGUUCUUUCUUCCACAGAGUAACCACCUUGUUGUUCUUGGUUCUUCUUGUUCUUAGUUUCUUGCUCUUUCUCCUCUAUUAUUUUCUUUAUCAAUAGUUGAUGCUCGUAAUUCUCUAUCUGUUUCUCUUCAUUAUAACAUAUGCUAAUUAGAAUAAAAAUUAGUUUAGUUUGCUAGUUAUUUAAUGUAUUCCUCUACAAUUAAUUAUAAUUUUGCAUUAAAUAACUAACGACUUAAAAUAAUUUUUAUUUUAAACUAAUGCUGAAGUUAAAUUUUGGAAUUGAAGGAACAACGUGAAGAACCCUAGCCCCCCAAUCGCGCAGCCCGCAGCACUGCAUCGUCGCCUAGCUCUCUCUCUGUUCGCCGAUGUCGUCGUCUCCUCUGUUGUCGCGGUCACUCUCCUUCCUCCUCGCCGCCGGUAAGCACUGUGCUUGCAUUUUAAUAAUACUUGGAUUUUCAAACUGAAACUGAAGUCCAGUCCCACUCCCACCCCUCUCCUCUCUAAAACCGAAGAAAAUUUAAAAUUGAAAGAACAAAGAACCCUAGCCACCCACAGAGAAUUUGAAAUUUGAAAUUGAUUAGCUGGUUUGUGAGUAUUAUAAUGAUCAUCCCGUUUGCCUUUCUGCUUGAAAGCUUUGAACUAGGUCUUGGAACGAACAUAGGGGCGCACAAACUCUUUCAAAACUAUAGUAGCGACUAGCUUACUAGCCGAUAGAGAUGCUACCUAAGCAGAGAAGCAGCCUAAUACUAAAGUAAAGGAUGAAAAGCAAGAAUCGAUUUUCCCAAGUUCUAACUACAGGAAAGAGGAAAGCCUCGUAGGAGAGAGUGAUUCAGCGGUAUUCCAUUCAUAACAAGGCUGAUAGAAUAGUUUAGUAAAGGACAAAAAUAACUUACAUCAAUAUGUAAAUAAUAAUUGUUCAAAAGUUAUAACAUAUAAAGGAAUAUUAUUUAAAUAUUUAAGACAUUUAAUAAUAGGUACAUGCCAUGAUGAAGAGAAAAAAAAACAGAUUUUUUGAUGGAGUACUAGAUAAUUAUUUUCGCUGUUGUUUGAAAUUAUUUUUGCUAUUUAGAAUUAUUCUAUUUAAUAUUUAAUUAAAUUGAUUAAACUUCAAUUUAACCAAUAAACUAUUGAACUAGUAAUUUUAUUGGUUUAUUGACUGGUUCGAAUCUCUUGUAACCUUAAAAGAGUGGGGAGAAUUAUUGACUCAAAGAGUAAUAAAUACAAAAUAGUAACUAAAUUCAGUAAAAUAAUGGGUGAAGAUUAGAAAUACAUUUAUUUUUCGAGUCACCAUCAAUACUCAAUAAAUUUUUUCAUAUAUAUUUAUAAUUUACAUAUAAAUACUUAAAAGAGCUUUAGUUACCUUGAAAAAACUCCUUCAAUUCAACAAAGUUGCUAUGUAUAUCCAAGAGU
rnacentral:lncRNA from 1 species